UAAGUCUGAUGUGAAAGCCCUCGGCUUAACCGAGGAAGUGCAUCGGAAACUGGGAAACUUGAGUGCAGAAGAGGACAGUGGAACUCCAUGUGUAGCGGUGAAAUGCGUAGAUAUAUGGAAGAACACCAGUGGCGAAGGCGGCUGUCUGGUCUGUAACUGACGCUGAGGCUCGAAAGCAUGGGUAGCGAACAGGAUUAGAUACCCUGGUAGUCCAUGCCGUAAACGAUGAAUGCUAGGUGUUGGAGGGUUUCCGCCCUUCAGUGCCGCAGCUAACGCAUUAAGCAUUCCGCCUGGGGAGUACGACCGCAAGGUUGAAACUCAAAGGAAUUGACGGGGGCCCGCACAAGCGGUGGAGCAUGUGGUUUAAUUCGAAGCAACGCGAAGAACCUUACCAGGUCUUGACAUCUUUUGAUCACCUGAGAGAUCAGGUUUCCCCUUCGGGGGCAAAAUGACAGGUGGUGCAUGGUUGUCGUCAGCUCGUGUCGUGAGAUGUUGGGUUAAGUCCCGCAACGAGCGCAACCCUUAUGACUAGUUGCCAGCAUUUAGUUGGGCACUCUAGUAAGACUGCCGGUGACAAACCGGAGGAAGGUGGGGAUGACGUCAAAUCAUCAUGCCCCUUAUGACCUGGGCUACACACGUGCUACAAUGGAUGGUACAACGAGUUGCGAGACCGCGAGGUCAAGCUAAUCUCUUAAAGCCAUUCUCAGUUCGGACUGUAGGCUGCAACUCGCCUACACGAAGUCGGAAUCGCUAGUAAUCGCGGAUCAGCACGCCGCGGUGAAUACGUUCCCGGGCCUUGUACACACCGCCCGUCACACCAUGAGAGUUUGUAACACCCGAAGCCGGUGGCGUAACCCU
rnacentral:rRNA from 2 species